rnacentral:rRNA from 1 species
GCAAGCGUUAUCCGGAUUCACUGGGUUUAAAGGGUGCGUAGGUGGGCAGGUAAGUCCGUGGUGAAAUCUCCGGGCUUAACCCGGAAACCGCCAUUGAUACUAUCUGUCUUGAAUAUCGUGGAGGUGAGCGGAAUAUGUCAUGUAGCGGUGAAAUGCUUAGAUAUGACAUAGAACACCAAUUGCGAAGGCAGCUCACUACGCGAAUAUUGACACUGAGGCACGAAAGCGUGGGGAUCAAACAGG